rnacentral:rRNA from 1 species
AUUGAGCGCUGGCGGCAUGCCUUACACAUGCAAGUCGAACGGCAGCACGGGGCAACCUGGUGGCGAGUGGCGAACGGGUGAGUAAUGCAUCGGAACGUACCUUUCAGUGGGGGAUAACGUAGCGAAAGUUACGCUAAUACCGCAUAUUCUGUGAGCAGGAAAGCAGGGGAUCGCAAGACCUUGCGCUGAUUGAGCGGCCGAUGUCAGAUUAGCUAGUUGGUGAGGUAAAGGCUCACCAAGGCGACGAUCUGUAGCGGGUCUGAGAGGAUGAUCCGCCACACUGGAACUGAGACACGGUCCAGACUCCUACGGGAGGCAGCAGUGGGGAAUUUUGGACAAUGGGGGCAACCCUGAUCCAGCCAUGCCGCGUGAGUGAAGAAGGCCUUCGGGUUGUAAAGCUCUUUCGGCCGGGAAGAAAUCGCACGGGCUAAUACCCUGUGUGGAUGACGGUACCGGAAUAAGAAGCACCGGCUAACUACGUGCCAGCAGCCGCCGUAAUAC